UCUGCUCAGGACGAACGCUGGCGGCGUGCCUAAUACAUGCAAGUCGAGCGGACAGAAGGGAGCUUGCUCCCGGAUGUUAGCGGCGGACGGGUGAGUAACACGUGGGUAACCUGCCUGUAAGACUGGGAUAACUCCGGGAAACCGGAGCUAAUACCGGAUAGUUCCUUGAACCGCAUGGUUCAAGGAUGAAAGACGGUUUCGGCUGUCACUUACAGAUGGACCCGCGGCGCAUUAGCUAGUUGGUGGGGUAAUGGCUCACCAAGGCGACGAUGCGUAGCCGACCUGAGAGGGUGAUCGGCCACACUGGGACUGAGACACGGCCCAGACUCCUACGGGAGGCAGCAGUAGGGAAUCUUCCGCAAUGGACGAAAGUCUGACGGAGCAACGCCGCGUGAGUGAUGAAGGUUUUCGGAUCGUAAAGCUCUGUUGUUAGGGAAGAACAAGUGCGAGAGUAACUGCUCGCACCUUGACGGUACCUAACCAGAAAGCCACGGCUAACUACGUGCCAGCAGCCGCGGUAAUACGUAGGUGGCAAGCGUUGUCCGGAAUUAUUGGGCGUAAAGGGCUCGCAGGCGGUUUCUUAAGUCUGAUGUGAAAGCCCCCGGCUCAACCGGGGAGGGUCAUUGGAAACUGGGAAACUUGAGUGCAGAAGAGGAGAGUGGAAUUCCACGUGUAGCGGUGAAAUGCGUAGAGAUGUGGAGGAACACCAGUGGCGAAGGCGACUCUCUGGUCUGUAACUGACGCUGAGGAGCGAAAGCGUGGGGAGCGAACAGGAUUAGAUACCCUGGUAGUCCACGCCGUAAACGAUGAGUGCUAAGUGUUAGGGGGUUUCCGCCCCUUAGUGCUGCAGCUAACGCAUAAAGCA
rnacentral:rRNA from 1 species